GCGCUUCACGCUGCUGUUCGUGCAGCACGUCCUGGAGAUCGCAGCCCUGAAGGGCAGCGCCAGUGAGGCGGCGGGGGGCCCUGAGUACCAGCUGCAGGAGAGUGUGGUGGCCGACCAGAUCAGCCUGCUGAGCCGAGAAUGGGGGUGGGUGCCGCCAGGGCUGGGGCGGGGUGGGGCGGGUGGUGGCCUGGAGGCCAGGACCAACCGGCCUCCUCUGAUCUGCCUGCUGCCCCCAGCUUCGCAGAACAGCUGGUGCUGUACCUGAAGGUGGCCGAGCUACUGUCCUCCGGCCUGCAAACUGCCAUCGACCAGAUCCGGGCCGGCAAGCUCUGCCUGUCGUCCACUGUGAAGCAGGGUGAGGGCUGCGACCGCUCAGCCCACAUGCCGGGUUGGGGAGGAAGCCCACCUUGCAACUGUCUGGGUGACAAGGUGACAGGGAGGCUGCUUGAGUAGGCCCCUGUGCAAAGGUGCAAAGGCCUUGGGGCCUGGCCCAGUGUGCAGAGCACAGAGGCCAUUGGGUCGGACAGCACCCUGGAGCCCAGUAUGCAGAGCACAGAGGCUGUGGGGUCGGAUGGCACCCGGGACAAGGUGCGGAGCCUGGCCACACCCUCAAGGCCACGGGGAGCCAGGGCUGUGGCAGGGAGGGAGGGACGUCCUCACUCAGUGCACCAGGCAGAUCAUGGCCACUCCAGCCCUGCCCCGUGUCUGCUGCACCCUGAGCUGACCACCCUCGUCCUUUGCAGUGGUGCGCAGGCUGAAUGAGCUGUACAAGGCCAGCGUGGUGUCCUGCCAGGGCCUGAGCCUGCGGCUGCAGCGCUUCUUCCUGGACAAGCAGCGGCUUCUGGACCGCAUUCACAGCAUCACUGCCGAGAGGCUCAUCUUCAGCCACGCUGUGCAGAUGGUGCAGUCGGCUGCCCUGGACGAGAUGUUCCAGCACCGUGAGGGCUGCGUCCCGCGCUACCACAAGGCCCUGCUGCUCCUGGAGGGGCUGCAGCACAUGCUCUCGGACCAGGCCGACAUCGAGAACGUCACCAAGUGUGAGUGCCAGGCUGGGCUGGGGGCUGGGGACUCUGGGCGUCUCCCUCACACUCCCCUCUCCCUCCACAGGCAAGCUGUGCAUUGAGCGGAGACUCUCGGCGCUGCUGACUGGCAUCUGUGCCUGACCUUUCUGGCCUGGCUGGGCCCCCCGUCCUGCCGAGCCCUGCAGAGUGGGCUCUGUGUGCUGGCUGGACUCCUCGGGACAAGCCCAUGGCGCUGAUCGCUGGUGCUGAGCCCUGCCCUGGGCCCCACGGACAGUCAGCCUGCCGGCCUCCCUGCAGCUCACGGGGCAGAACCAGCACAUCUGGAGCCACACAGCUUGGGGGUGUCUCCCAUCUUUUACAGGUGGGGAUCACAGAAUUUCUGCCCCUCCAGCUGCCUGGCUCAGCAGGCGUGGGUGCCACCACCCUCUAGCCCCAGGGCAGCCCCGGAGGACAGGCAAGGGCCUGAGACCACUGCCGACUCAAAGCCAAAGCGAGCUCCUGCUUAGGGCAGGUCAGCAGGCACUGUGCCCAGGAAGAGCCUGCGGCCUCGGCGUCCCCCAGUCUCCAGGAGCCUCUCCCUCCGAGAUACCCACCCAGCUUUGUCAAUCACCCAAGCACUUUAUGCAUAUAGAGACAGAACCUGGACCUCACCAGGGACUGCUGGGCAGCGAUUCCUGGCAGUGGCCUGGUGUUUGUACAUACACAUAUGCAGACACAUGCCAGGGCCCCC
rnacentral:sRNA from 1 species